AUGCUCACUUCGGCAGCACAUACAUUCUAAAAUGGGAACGAUACAGACAAGAUUAGCAUGGCCCCUGUGCAAGGACGACAUGCAAUUUUGUGAAUUGUUCCAUUUUUUU